rnacentral:tRNA from 1 species
GGAGGGGUGGCAGAGCGGUUGAAUGCGACGGUCUUGAAAACCGUUAGGGGCGUUUACUCGUCCCUCGUGGGUUCGAAUCCCACCCCCUCCG